rnacentral:tmRNA from 1 species
AUUCUUGUGAUUUGCCUCCCGAAUCCCUAUCUCAGGGGGGUCGGGGCAACCCGGCUAUGUCGGUAGACUGCUACGUGGAAUAGGCAUUUCGGACCCGGGGGGCAGUACCCCGGCGCCUCCACCACCAGCGGCACCUCUCGGAACGAGGGGCUGUUGCUGAUGGGGGCGAAAUAGGAUCGACGAGUGUAAUAAAGACGUGGUUGCCGAUCGGAUUGAGUCACCGUGACGGCUCAUUUUCACAAGUGCCAACGACAACGAGGCACUCGCGAUUGCCGCGUAACUGACGUCCUAACGGACUGACGUUACAAAGCUUAAGCGCGGUCGGACCCCACCGGGCAACAGAAGGGGAUUCCAGCGGUUCGGAGGGCACCGGGCAACAGAAGCCCUCCACC